GGAUUUGCCAAUGGGCGAAAGCCUGAUGCCCACAUGCCGCAUGAGAAGAUGAAGGCCUUCGGGUCGUAAAGCUCUGUCCUCAAGGAAGAUAAUGACGGUACUUGAGGAGGAAGCCCCGGCUAACUACGUGCCAGCAGCCGCGGUAAUAAA
rnacentral:rRNA from 1 species